GACAGAUAAUUCCAACAUUCUAGGUUAAAGCACGAAAUAGCUCUACUUCGGAGGAUCGACGUAAUUCAUUUAAUAUAAAAUCUUCCUCUUCCAUAACGCUCUCUCUUUCUCUUCUCUUUGAUGAUAUUGAUUUCAGUCUCAGUUCCUCAGCCCAUGCUCGACCAAUCUCAAGAUCGAGGUUUUUUCGAUAGGUAGAGGGCUUGGUAGGAGCGAAGCGAGAAGACGUUUAGCCAGGUAGCUCUAUUGACAAGUAGCGUGGGCAAGCUUCACUUCAAGACAGGACUGAAAUUAGUACGACUAGCUUCCUUUCUAGCUCGACCAAUACAAUAGGGGACCGAGUGGAACUAGGAAGCUUUGAGUAAGACGUGUAGGGUCUUUGUAAUUGAGCUUUCAUGCUUUACUGAGAAGGAGAGGAAACCGAAAGCCUCAAUCCUUAAAUUAAAGCAAGUCCUUGAAAGCUGGAGAGGAAGUAAGACUGGUAGUGAGAAGGGAUACGCGUAACUUGGAUACUCAAUUAAUAAGUGGUACCGAGUGCCAAGUGGAGGAACGAACUAACCCAAUUGCCUUUUUACGGAUCGAUGGAAUUGAAAGAGUUAAGUUGAUGGUUCUAAAUGCUCUACUGAGCUGAGUUCUUGAGGGAAUGAGACUGAAAGUGUAGGGGGAAAGGGGCUACGCGUUGAAAGAGAAAUCUGAGAGAAAGAGAUCGGCCUUCGGACUCUUCCUAAAUUCCUUCUUUAUCGUUCUCUAGUACUAUCGCUAUCGCUCCGUAAACAACACUCUUAUGUAGUCAACUACACUCGUAUCGCACAGGCUACACAAGCGAGCUACGUAUAUAGUAGAAGCGAGUACACUUGCCAGGCCAGAGAUUUCAUAACCUGGAGAGCUGAGUUAAGAAUGCUAAUGCUUUGGUUCUUUCCUUUAUAGAGAGAUAUGGAGUUCUGGCAUAGAACUUACUAAGAAUAAGGGGGAAUUCUUGUAAGUUCUUUUGGCUUAUGGGGGCCUGAGACUCGAAACGACUCGGGGGAAUACAACUAGUAAACACUACUAAACUGGGAAGAAAAACAUCUUGCUUGAAAGACUCUCAUCUGCAACCGCAUUCACUCGUAUCCAUAUCCAUCUAGGGAUGGAAACUGAAAUGCCUUAUCCAGAGACUUACACGUCCGGAGGCUUACGCGGCUUAUCCAGAAGCAAGGCAAGCUCAGCUCACUCUAUCCCCAUAAUAAGCAAGCUCAAGGCUAGGAUGAGGAUAAAUUAACUAAGCUAAGGAAUUGACUAUUGCUAUGUAAUAUUAACUGGUUAUAAUUACACUCGCUAUUCCUAAGAAAGGCAGUCUAGAAUAGAUUCUAUAUAAAGGGCUUGUACUGGACUAUAAGUAGAAGGUUUCUCGCCUGGAAUUGGCUGGGGGAUUUUAUUAAGGCAGGGCGGCCUACACAAGAGAUUAGGGCUCAUGAACGUAGAGCUUUCCCGGCUUGAGAGGAAUUCUUUCACGUGUAAAGAGAGUCUUUCUUUUCGGGCUAUUUUAGUUCCCUUUUUGGCCAUGGGAGAUCCUGUGCCAGUCCCUUAUGCAAAUAGGUAUUUUUCAUAUAGUAUACACUAUGAAAAUUCGAUUUCUAAAGUAAGCCCUUCCCUUCGUACUUUUCUGGGAACACUGCUUGUUAAGCUCUUGCGCUUGUGUAAUCUCCUGCGAUUGGAAGUGCUUGUAUCAAGCCAGUGAGAAAACCUGAGUAUUUGAAGGCAGCGAGAAAGCCUAGUUUGUCAGUGAGAAGAAAGCCAGUAACCUCUUUUUCUUCCCUUAGGCAAGUUCCUGAGGAAUAUGUAUCUAAUAGUAUAGUGGGUGGAUAGCGGGCAUACCUUUCAUAACGUGUCUACCUGUACUCUUUAGAAAUAAUAAGUACUCCUCCCCUUACUAUCUACUUUCUUUGCUUUGCUAAAAGAAUAGACUGAUUGAUUAUCGGUACAAGUCCUACAAGUAGCCCUUUCUAGCCUCCAUCAAGUUCCUGUUGGGAAAAGAAAUCCCCUUUCCUAUCUGGCGCCCAAAAGGCUUCCGGUUCUUUGAUCAACCGCCACCCCUGGCGUGCCAACAUAGCUAAGUUAAAGCACUCAAAUUCUCUCAAUUAGCUUGACCCAAUUCCUUCCAAUUUAUCCAAUGAAGCCUGUUGAGGGAAUUCCAUUCUCCCAGGUCUUCUUUCUAGACCAGCAGUGAAACCGAUUCUUGCCCUACGGAUGAAGGCCCGAGUUUACGAGGUGAAGCACUAGCACUCGGAAAGACCAAUCGAAAAGAAAGAACAUCUACUGAACCUCUUUCUUUAGUAGCGAGAACAUUGACUCACGCAGAGGCCACUCUCUCAUCUACGCCAUUUUUCGAUCUUUCUUUGAAGGUGUGAGUGUGAAGCCAACUCAAAAAGUGGGUCUGUUCAAGUAGAAGAAACAUGCCAAGAUGAAAGAAGACGGAGCUAAACCCCUAUCUUAAGCAAAGAGGCACGAACACAACGCUAUCAAAAAAUGUCCCGCCCUUCCGUCAGAGAAGAGAAUGAAAUCCGGGAUCAAAGAAAGGAGAUUAGGGGAUGAGUUCGCACCCACCUUCUCUCUCUCUCAUGGAGUAGCGAUCAGAGUGACUAAUUUGCAAGGAAGUAUUAAGCCAAGCCCAAUCUCUUAUGUACUCGCAAGUAAAGGAUAGUACCCUUUCGGGGAGUAGAGAUCCCGACAGUCAGCGAGAGCAGCUGCAAAAGGAAAGUCAACGGCAUUUUUGGGGACUAGUUUAAGGAAACCGGCAUAGAAUGGAAUGUGUGAAGUAUAUAGCUAGCCUGACAGUUCAAUCAGAGUUAUUGACAGGUCGGGUUCCUUUCAAAAAGAGGCUUCGUAGCUGACGCCAAGCACAAUUUCUUUCGACUGAUUCCUUUUCUAUUAUCCAAUCUUGAGUUUGAACAUCUGCUCACUCGGCGGUAUGGUGAGGUCAUCAGAGGCCAGCCUUCAGCCAAAGAGGCACAACAGCGCAGCGAAAUGAGAUGGAAGGGCUCGAAAGCAAGAAACGGUUCCGAAGUGAAGCCCUUUUACCCAGUGCUAUCUAUGUUAGGGGACUGGUGGAAUGAAACCAUAUCUCAUAUCUCAUAGGUUUUUUAGGGAAGAACUCGUUCCAGUACCGCUACCGCUUCGAGUGCGAGAAGGAAGCCUAAUGAAGAAGAUUACUCGUCUGGGAAAACCUGAUCUGGUAGGGAAGACAGACCUUAGAUGGCGAAGCUACUGACUAUUGGUAUUGGUUUCAGUGUCAGCAAAGUCAGGGGAGAAGGAAUCAGGAACGAACGCAGCACUGACGCUCUUUAUUUUGUAGGGAGCAGAGUAACCAAGCCCAAGGGCAAGGGCCCCAACAUUCAAAACAGAGGAUUUUUUAUCCAACUAAAGGGAUUUUGAAAAGCUCAGCCAUAGCAUCGUGAGAGGCAAGCAGGUGAAGUAUGUCACGAGCAAGCUACUCACUUUCGACUUCCGUAAAUCAGAGAUUGGACCAUCUGGAUUGUUAUGGAUAGGCGAAUUCACCCAGGGAUGCCAGCACUUCAUCAUCUUCCGUUGAGGGUCGGAGUUGAAAGAAAAGAAAAUGAGAGCAUUGAUUCGCCGUAGAUUCGAUCUCUCCUUUCUUCUUUAGAAAACGAUCUCAUCGNNN
rnacentral:lncRNA from 1 species